CGGCAACCUUGGUGUUAUCAGCACCAGACCCUAACCAACUGAGCUAACCGGUCACCCUCCCAACAGUUUUCAUGUCAACCUUCACCACAAGGAUGUUUGCGAGACUAAUUUGGCACUCCCACAUGGAGUGCUGAAAUGGAAGCUUUCUGAAAGGUAGUGGCAUUUAGGGUCCAUGUCAUUUCACAUUCAUGUCUUGACCCAAGUUUGCAAACUAGAUUUCAGUUUCCCUAGACCUAUUCUGUUCAGUACAGUAGGUACUAGCCGCAUACAGUGAUUUACAUAUAAAAUGUGAUUAAUUAAAAAUAAAAUUUAAAAUUCAGUUGCACUAGCCACAUUUCAAGUUCUCAGUAGCCACAUAUGGCUACCAUAUUGGAGAGCCUAAAUAGAGAACAAUUCCAUUGUUCCAGAAAGUUCUAUUGGUCAGUGCUGACCUAGACUAUUUGGGGAUUUUGGCACUAGAAUAUGAUUUCCCGAGGAUACUAUUUCCAUAUUAUAGGUUGCAAAUACCAUGAAGACCCCUGAGUAAUAGAUUAUCAGUGAAUUGACUCUCCUCUAAACAAGUUAUAAAAAUCAGAUGAAGGAAGUUUUAAAGCAUCAUUACCAAUGAGUAAAAUAUUUGGGGAUCUCAAGUCUUCUUUUAAAAAAAAGUUAUUUUUAAUCCCCAAAUAGUGGUAUUGUAGUUAAUCAUCUCCUUAACAGGUUGGUCCCCAGAAACCAAAAUCAUUUUCCACUGUGUGUUGUUGUGGGUCUCUGACCCAAAGGAACGCCCACUGAGUACCCAAAUUCCAUGACAACUGGUUGGUUUAACUUAAAAAAAAGUUUGUUCAGUGGAGAAAAAAUGACGCCAGUGGUCAGUACUGGUAGCAGCAUAUAACCUGGAAAAAAAAAUUGUUCUAAAAAAAUAAGUACUUUGGCAAGUGGCUCAACUCUAAAGCCUUUAAUUGGGAAAUGGUGAGGUGUCCGGCAUGCAGCUCUCAGAAUGGGAGAGAAUCGAGCUGUGCUGUUGGACCCCAGGAUGGCUCCCGGCUAAGUCCGGUGCUUUAUGGGAAGGAAACCGAUGCGAUGUCUGAAGCAGUAGCCACGAGCCACAUGUGGCUGUCGAGCUCCUGAAAUGGGGAGGUCCAAACUGAGAUGUGCCGUAAGUGCACAGUGCACCCUAGAUUGAUAAGCCUUAGUAUAAAAAAAAAGGAAAGUGACCAAGCUCAUUAAUGUUUAUAUUAAUUACAUGUUGAAAUGAAAAUAUUUUUAAGGCAUUGGGCUAAUACAUAAAAUCUAUCAUGAAAAUUAAUUUUACCUAUUUCCUUUCACUCUAUCGUGUGGCUACUAAAAAUUUGCAGUUACUGCCGUGGCUCACCUCGCCUUCCUCUUGAGCGGCAUCAUUCCACACCACGCUAGCCUUCCCUUCAUCUUGAGCCUUAUUAUGCCCAACCUGCUGUAGAAAUAGCCAUUGUGUCGACAGUUUUUGUUUUCCUAUCACCUGAUGAGUCAUUUUCAAACCACUCUUUGGACCACCUCUGUAGCCAGUUUGAUUUAAGCAUUUGGGGAGGGUCGGGAGUACCAGCCUGACAGGGCUCUGGCUUAGAGUUUUCCAGAUUCAGGUCCCUAAAAGGCAGUUAGAAACUCCAGAUUUUAGCUUCUAUUUUUCAGUUCCUCAAUUGAAAUGACAAUGUCUUCAUUUGCAGUUUUUCCGAAAUCCAGCAGAAACAGAGAACCAGCUCCACUUGAUUGAUAAUAGAAGAUGGAAUCAAAUCCUCAGGCAAGAAGUCAUUUCACAGACUUUACAAAACGUAUCUGCUUCACCACUCAAAUAUUACAUCAUCUGUGAAGAGGUUUCGAAGUCUUACUCCAGGCAGUCCUUCAUCAGAGGUGGUGUGUUUAGAAGAAAUGCCAGUAAACGAACAAAAAGUAUUAACGGCUGCUCUGUCGUCUGGAACUUUAUAUGACUAGGUGCUCUUUUUUUUUUUUUUCAUCGUAAAAUUUGCCGAGGAGGGCUAUACAUGCUUGUAAAUAAAUGUAAAUAAGUGUACAUAAGUAACUAGGCGGUCUGGCUCUAUUUUCCUAUUAAAUCAGAGAAAUAAAAUUGUCAGAUGCCUCAGGAAGUAAAGGCUUUUUACUGAAAUCUA